AGGCCUAUCAGUAUCCUGAGUAGGGCGGGACACGUGAAAUCCCGUUUGAAUCCGCGAGGACCAUCUCGCAAGGCUAAAUACUAACCAGUGACCGAUAGUGAACCAGUACCGUGAGGGAAAGGUGAAAAGAACCCCGGGAGGGGAGUGAAAGAGAACCUGAAACCGUGUGCCUACAAGUAGUCAGAGCCCGUUAACGGGUAAUGGCGUGCCUUUUGUAGAAUGAACCGGCGAGUUGCGUUAGUCAGCAAGGUUAAGUCAGAAAAGACGGAGCCGUAGCGAAAGCGAGUCUGAAGAGGGCGA
rnacentral:rRNA from 1 species